ACCUGGUCCUGCCUUUCGGCUCCGCGCAGCACCUCCAGGUGUGCGUGGAAGCUCCCGGGCUCGCGCUCGUCGCGGAAGCCCUGCCUUUCCCGCGCUGUCUCGGAGCAACCCCGCAGACGUCUGUAGAGUUCGCUCCUGCACCUAGCGAUGUGCUCCUCGAGACAGUCUCCGGAGAGAGAAGAUGCGAACUACACUGUUAUUCCCACCUAGAGAACACUACCGGUAACCAUCAACAGCUGGAAUCGAAGUCAGGAUCAUCAACUCAAAUUGAGGAGGUCCGGGUAUCAGGAGAAGUCCCCCGAUAACACCUGUGAGGUGCUGACAAACUGCAGUGGCACAAGGGGCCGGUGCUGGCACGGAGCAGCCAGGGUCCAGGCGACCCCCAGGUGUUCUCAGAUCGAGACUGGAUUACGACAUCCCCUCUGAAGCCUAAUGGACACAAGCAGUUGAACAAGAGGACUUUUGAAAAAGGGGAUGGCACGCCGAGCGGUUACGUAACACUUUCAAGGUCUCGGACCUUCUGGAAAACGGGGAGCCGGAAUUCCCACUCGCCUCCGCUACCGUUCUUUGCCACUGACAAAUUAGACUGGGACAGAUUCGAGAGAAAAUUCCGUCGUUCCCUUUCCCUUGUUGCUACUGCAUCUUCUGGUCAGCAGACAUGGGAGAAUAUCUAGGGGGCACUGAAGGUUGCUUGCCUAGCAUCUUCUCUCUCGUUCCUGAUGAAGAAGGAGUAGAGUCAGGAACACCUUUCCUGCAUACAGUCACAACCCUCUCGGGCUGUGGAGACUGCUCCCAGGAGCAGGGCUGGUUGACUUCCCUUGCUCCGCACGAGUCCAGCAAUGGCCGUGUGACCUCAUCUGGCUAAGGAGAUCUGCAUGAUGUGGCCUGGGCCCUCCCAUGCACAAUUCUCGGGCUGCUAAGAGAAAGCUAUGGAGCAGUCUCCUGUCUUCAUCUGGACGGGUGUGUCAGAAGGAGGUGCCUGGAACUGCAGUAGCUAUCCCCCCAACUUCAAGGUGAAGCUCAUAAAGAGGAUAGCAGAGAGGAGAGAUGGAAAGAACCCCAGUGCUUUUGACAGACGUUUAGGUGCUCAGUCACCAGAGCCUGAAGCCUGCUGCUGAUUAUGUGAAUUGAAGUCAUACAUUGUUUGAACAACUUGCAGCUCAGACAUUCCACCAGAAGAGGUGGCAUUUUCUAUACAAAAUACCAACCUGUAAAUUGAAAUGCAGAUGGAAAGAGAACAUGUAUCCCAGCACUAUGAAAGUCAAACAUGAUGCCAAAAUAAAGUGCAAUGCUUCCAAAAAUUGAAAAAGCAUUCACAAAGGUCCAGUAAGAAGUAUCCAAGCCAAUCUGUUGGGAAACCAGAGAAAGAAAGAGCACUCAUUUGGGGAGUCACCAAGAAAUAAAGGAUCUAAGGAUUCUGAAAACAGAAUUCAGCAAUUUAAGCAUGAUCUGGCUUGAAUACUAAACAAACAGAAACUACCCUCGGCUCAGUUUGCAGAUAAGCUCCAAGAGGUAUGAAGAAGAGGACCAUCGAUGUUAAAAUUCCGUGCACCAAGCUUACGAAGAAUCUCUUAUAGUUGAAAAGUGCUCGGUCUGCCCUGACGUGUCCCUGUGAGCACGAGGUCCUACCUGGUCAAGCAGCCCCAUGAGGAGCACGGGCAGGCUGGAGUAGAGCACGUUGUAGAGCGUGAUGAACCAGUCCUCGUACGCCGUCUGUGGGGAGAGUACCCAUUGAAGAAGGAGUACCAGAAAUGAACCAACGUAAAUGCGAAGUUUUUGUAAAAGAAAUAUCGAAGGAACUUGCACAUCCUUAUGUAAGACCACCGGCCGUGUACCAACAGCAGUCUCUGCAAGUAUCUGAACUGGGCAAAGGAGUAGUCACUUGACAUGACAGCUUGCAUGCCUUCUUGUCCACUUAUUCCAACACCAAUGUGGGCAGCUGUGGGGCGGAGGGAGAAGAUAUGUGAAUCAUAAGCUAAUUUUAAAGCAAAACAUGGAGAUGAUAAAAAUGUUUCCACAGUAAAACAAAGAAACAGACAUUCUUGGAGCAAUGAAAACUCUUGCUCACCAGCCCCGCCCCAGCUUCUGAACUCAACUUUAUGUCAGAGAUACAAGUGGCUAAAAAAAGCACAAGGCAAGGGCUCUGAGGAGUAUUUGUGAACUCAGGUGGGUGGUAAAUUCCAUUUGGGUUUUCUGCCCAGCUCAUAAGCCAUCCUUCCCACCCACGGAGGGAACCCAAGGAAUCCGUGCAUACUGUGUGUCCCUGCCUCCCUGGCCACAGCUGAGGCAGCUCUGGGCUGGUAGGUCAUCGGUAGCAUAUACAGAUUGGCUCUCCCAACCUUCAUGUCACCCUUGUUCUAUUGGAAAGGUGGGAAAGCAGAUAAAAACCUAACCCCGCUCUGACUUCCUCGCAGCAAGGUUCUAUUUGUGAAUUGGGUUCCAUCGUUGCGAGCCACCUGGAGCCCAGCAGCCCUUCCCUUUGUGGCAUUUCUGCAGUAGAGUUCAUAUCCUCUCUCCAGCUGCCUGGAGGUUGACGGACAAAAGUUCUUCAGCUGAAAAGCCCUUCACAGAAGCCUCAAAGUUAGAAGCUCCUCUGGUGCGUGACUAAGACAUUCGAGGCUCAGCCUGGCACCUGCUUCUUCAGUCUAUCCAGCGCUUUUGUGAGCACUUAGUCCCUUACAUUAAUCACUUCCUGCUUAAAGUACCCAGGGGGGUCUGUUUCUUAUGCUAUCCUUGGCACAGAACCCAAGCUGGACCAAUCCGUGUCUCUUUCACAUUUUGGAACUAAGAUUUGGGUUUGUGUUUGUCAUUUUAACUUCUAAAUUCUUGAGUUGUGGGACAGAUAUAUUUAUUUCCAAAGGGUUCUGAGAGGCAGAAGUAAAGUGGUCUAGAAGGAGGAUUGAACAGAAGCUGGGUUCCUGGUUCCAGCAUCUUCCUGAGGUCUGGCUUUUUGGGAGGCAUGAAACAUCUUUAGAUCUUUUAAAAUAAAUUUCUUUUUGUCUUAAGCUUGCGUUAGCUGUUCUUUAAUAUUUACAAUCAAAAGUGUUUUAACUAAGAUACUAGUUUAUAUAGUAUAUGAUAACUAUAAUAUACUUAGUUAACUAAGUAUUAAACUUCCAGCAUUUAGUCAUGGCCCACCGUGACCUUAAGAGACACAUUUUUUUUUUUUUUUUUUUUUGGCUGCAGAAGGUUUCCAGAAUGGAUAAAAAUGAAAGUGACAAUUCUGUCCAUCCUUCCAAUAGUCACUUAGUCACAGUUUCAACUUAGCAAAUUACGAAUUUUAUAUAGGUCUUAAGAGGCAUGGAACUAAAGACAUACUGAGAUCUGCUAGAGAAUGUGUGUUGGAGAACAUAAUCUAUUAUUACUCAGACCCAGAGACAUGACUGCCAACUCAGCAGGGUUUCCAACUGAAAGCGGCUCCAAAAAUCCUGCCUUAGUGGCAGAGUACAGGGUCUGGCAAAUUCAAAGUGACACAGUGACUUGGCCAAACCUACGUUUUCAGUAACACUUUGCGAUUCUAAAAAAUAGAAUGAAUUGCAGGUCUCAUUCAAUAUUUAUGACUUCUUUUUAAACACAUAAAUAAUUCUUAUGACUAGUCGUGGUUGCCAAACUGUGCUUUCCUGCCGAACCAUGGGCUACUUUUCCGAUCAAGCAACAAAGGGAGAUGUUGAGGUUCUCUUGGAGCCAAGGAGAAGGAGCCCCUGAUGUCCAGCCCAGCCUUUUCGCUGAGCACACCAAGGACAGCGUGUGAAAGAACACAGCCACAGUUCACAGGGGAUUCAGGGCAACUGAGGAGAUGUACUUUAUAGGGCUACAUGUUUUUUUCCCUAUAAUCUAAAUAUAGACACCUAGAUUUUCCUGAAGUUUCAAAAAUGUGGUUUCAGAUGCCUCACUGGUAGGCUCCUUCAUAGUUCCUUAACAGACUCAUCAUUGCCUCAAGCCUUUGUGGCUCUGUCUCCCCUCUCGUGCUUCUUGCUUAUUCUUAGGGUCUUAGACCAAGAAAAAACACCACCCACCAGCCAGCAGACAUCUUCAGGCCCAAGAGAGGGAGACAGGGGAGCCCAUGAGAGUCCUUGCGUCCUUGCUAGAGGCAAAAACAUGGGGGGGGGGGCGGGUUGCAGUUCCCUCCACUUCUACUAAAUGUGGAACAUGCUAACAAAUGGCCAAGUUUUUCUGACACUUAAAUUUUACUGUAUUUCUUUAGAAACAAAUAUAAUUUCUGUAUAUUGUAUUUUAUACAGGUGAAAGCAAUGCCAGUUUUUCUAAAAUACAAAAAGGCACUAUCAAUACUUGGGUAAAGCUCUGGACUUCCAGGGACACCUGAGUUUCUUUGAUUUGCACCCCAGAUGGAUGUUCCCUGUUAUAUAUAAAAGCACCGACCAUAUAACAGAGCUUAAUAAAAUUCUUAGAACUUAA